AUCGCUUCUCGGCCUUUUGGCUAAGAUCAAGUGUAGUAUCUGUUCUUAUCAGUUUAAUAAUUGUAUCACAAAACAAUGAAAAUUUUCAUUUAAUUAUAAACUAAGUCAUU
rnacentral:snRNA from 1 species